AAAAAAAAAGAGGUGGCCCAUAUUGGGUCUUGGCUGGCGGCAAAGGUGGUGGCGGGUUGAGGUGGAAGAAGAAAGGAGGAAGGAAAAUUUUUUUUGUGUGUUUUGGGUAUUUUAAAGUGUGUAGUUUAAAAUUUUUGAGAAGAUUUUGAACUUAUUGUAGUUAAAGUUGUUAAAAAUUUGGUAGGAAACAAACUUGGCAAAAACUCACUUUGCCAAACAGGGCCUUAAUUUCCAUGCAAUAAAUUUCCCAAGCGGAGUUAAUUUGAUUUUUUUUUGGUAAGAGGAGUUAAUUUUAAUUCCUAAUAUAUAUAUAUAUAUAUAUAUAUAUUUAUAUAUGAAAGUAGCUAUUUUAACCAUAGUGUUUCUCACUCCUAUGUGACAUGCCUAAUUGAAGAGAAUUAACGGAUUAUGGAUCACUUGGAUUUUACCCAUACUAAAUCUUAAUUGGAUUAUAUUAUGUGUUUAAAAAUUAUCUCUAAUUUUAAAAUAACUUUAAAAAAUAAUUAAUCUUAUCUUAACGAUAUCUGCUUCGUAUCAAAUUAUUAUAAUGAUUAUAUUAUAUGUUUAAAAAUUAUCUUUGAUUUUAAAAUAACUUUAAAAAAUAACUAAUCUUAUCUUAAUGAUAUCUGCUUUCUAUCGAAUUAUUAUAUAAAAGUAUAGUAAAACCUUUUAAAAUCACAAUUAUUGAAAUCUUACACAUUCUAUAAAUUACUUCCUUUCACCACCAUAUCAUUGAUUAGUAUCUAAAUUGUUCAUCAUUUCUUCUUAAUUUUGCAUUAACUUAGAAUAAAAAAAAGAAUUAACUGUUACACCAAUGGAUUUACCAAUAUUAUUGAAAAUUGAAUAUUUAUUGAUGAAGAAAAAUGGAUUAAUAGAUUUUUUUCUACUUAAUUAAGUAUGAAUAUAUAAUUCUAGAUUUAUGGCCAUUAUAAAAAUUUAAAUUAUCUAAAAGAAUAAUUAUAAAAAAGAAUAUCUACUAAGUUUUGGAUAUGAGGUACAUUAUUCGAUGUAUACUAUUAUAUUACAGUGAAAGUAUGUAAACAAAUUUUUAAAAAUUAGAAAAUAAUUGAACAUUUAAAAUACAUUAAUUUUUUAAAUUAAUAUGAAUGAACAUGUAGAACUAUUGUUAAUUUUUUUUAUUUAAAUUAUUUAAAUUUGUAUAAAUUAAAAAAAAAAAACCGUGCUAAGGCAUGGGUAAAUUUCUAGUUUGAAUGUAAUAUAUUUCGCACAAUCAGAUAGUUGACCACAAGCCAGACUAAUGUCUAUGAAUUUUGCUCGCAAAAGGAACCACACACCUGAACCUGAAGAAGGAAAGUCGGCACACCUAGAGGUUGAAUAGAAAUGCCAUCAGAGUUGCUCUAAAUUACCGAAUAACUGGUCCAUUUUCACUGUAGCAACCCUGUGACGGCCCCACCUCCCCCCAGGGCGUACCCCAGGAUUUGGCGGGUCGCCUGCGCAACUCUCGCCAGAACUCACUCACUCAUAAUUCAAGAAAAAAAUAACAUACAUCCACAGAAAAUAAAUAACACAUCCACUUCAACUUAAUAUAUACAUUGAUGCUCAAAUCCAGAUACAAAGCUUCUACACACCAAAAUACUUCAAAGUGUUUACAAUUCGAGUACAAUCAACCCUAGUCGAGUGCUAGCGUGAGUACCAUUUCAAAACUUCAAAACUAGACUAUUCUGUACCAGUCUCACGCCUCACUCGUACCCCUGUAAGGAAAACAAAUGGCGUUGAAUGAGCUAAAAGCCCAGUGAGAUUCCAAAUAGCAAGUUGACUAUUAUUUAAAAGUGCAAGUAUCACGUAGCAAACUAAUGAGUAUGAAAAGUUCAUAAAAGUGAACAAUAACAUUUUAAGUAGCAAAUCUCAAAGUGAGCGAGUGUAAAGUUUUUCUUUUAAAACGAAACAAUAACACGAUAAGUACUAAUCAUUCCAAAGUAUAAGGAUACGGAUGGCUCUCAGGAGCCAAAUUCCUAUUGCAUCAUCAGAGUUUGAUCAAGUAAUAGUUGACACUCCGUCAACUUCAAGUAAGUAACCAAUCCAGUAGAGAACCAUUUAAACUACUCUCCGUCCACCAUCCAAACCACUUACCGGGCCCGUACUCCACAAUAAACAUUGGUGGUAAUACUCGAGUAUACCGAUUAGUCGAAAAGAUAACACUCCACUCGACAUCACUAACUACCCAUGGUUCGUUAUCUAAUCGACCAAACCCUUGCCGGCUCGACUCGAUUAACUAGCCAGUGGGGUUUGGGUCCCCAAGAUGUCGAUGAGAUAACAUCUCCAAUCGACUGAAUCAAAAUAAAAGUACGGAGACGGGAAUGAGAGGCACCUCCCACUCAGAUUGAGUGUGGUACAUACUGCCGCUCCGCAUUUACAAUUCAAGUACAAGUAUAUCAAUUUAAUUGAAACAAUAAACAAGUAUAUACCACAUUAGGACAAGUGCGAUAAAGUACACUCUUACCCGAUCAAACAAAUCACAUAUCAUUUAUUUACAUUGAUCAAGUAUUGAAAAUAAGUGUCCAGUUCAACCAAGUAUUUGGAAGCACUCACCAAAAUGUAGUACUUUUCAAAAAUCACGUUCAGGUCCAACUCCUUGGUUGGAGUCCAAAUCUGCGAUAAAAUAUCAUUGACGAAUGUAAAACUCUCUAGAGUUCGAAACAUAGGAGUUUCACUUCAAGAAAAUCAAGUAAAUGCAACUCAUUUAAAUAGUAUUCAAGAUACUUAUCAAAUCUCGAAAAAUUUAUGCUCGCUCGUUUAGUUUCGGUAAGGAAACGGUUAUAACUUUGGAACUCCCAUUGGAGUCGAAAGAACGAGGAAAAUGUAUUUCUAUUGAUUAUUACUUUCAUUUUUCAAGGGUAUGAGCUUCCGGCAAAAUUUUAGCUUAUAUACCCUGAUUAAAGAAAACUCGAAUACCAUAGGCGAUCCAAGUCCAACUUGACCUCAAAUCCCUAUUUAAGUCGCGAGUAUAUCUACCUAUCCCUCGAGUGCAAAUUUGGGCAGCACGCCCCUUAUAUUUACCUAUUUCCAGCCAUUUAUGGCUCCAUUUUUUUCCUCAAUCAGCCCCCAAAAUCACACACAAAUAAUCUCAUUACAAUAGCCGUUCAAUAGGAUAAAAGUCAUUCAAUUACAAAACCAAGCUAGAAAAGUGAGCGGAAAUAAGCUUUAAAGCAAAGAACAAAAUAACAAGUUUGACGUCCUUUAGCGUAUUGGUCACAAUUGAAGCUACGCUUAUUGGAUUGCAUUGAAUUUUAUACCUCUACGAAGCUAAGACAAAGGGAUACAACUUUCAUGAAGCCCACUCAAUCCGGUUCACAAUUUAUCUAGGUCAAAAGUACAGAUUACUGAACCAGAAUGUCCUUGUCAGUACGGUUGUUAGUACUGAAUUCGAAUGACGAUAACUCAGGCUACAAAAGUCCGAUCGAGGCGUUUUCAGGUGAGUUGAAAAGGUAGGACAUAACACUACAACUUUCAUGUUUUGGACAAAUGCUAAUUUGAUAUGAAUCAAGGUGAAAAAAUGCGGCCAGAAUGAUGAAAUGUCAAAACUGUCCACAGAACUCUACCUAUGGCAGUCAAGGGUAUUUUUGUCAUUUCACAUGAUACCGUGCUCGGAUUGUGCUGAAAGAUUGUAGGAAGAUAUAAAACAUCAUUUCCUACAACUUUCAUGUUUUGAGCUAAGCCUAAUUCGGCCUCCAUCAUGGCCAAAUAGAUCUGGUCCGAACAGGGUAACAUAAAAACUCAAAUAUGGAAUUUAGUGAAUUCAAAGUGUAAAUUUCGCAUUUCUAGCUUAAACCACUACUACAACUUACUAUACAAGAUUAUAUAUACCAUAUACCAUCCAAACAACAAGAAAUAUAAGUGAACAAUUCAACACCCUAACUCAAAAUUCUAUCACCACAAUCAUUAAAAUCACUUAAAAUAUUAGGUAUCACAAUGCAAGAAUACAAGUUGCUUCAUAACUUAAGCAAGACCAAGGGAAAUGGAGAAGAUGGACAGCCAUAAUACCUCAAUAAAAGGCUUCCAAGGGAUAUCCUUCACCUUUUCUUGGAAAAUUUUAGCUCCCCAAGCUUCCUAAGCUCUCAAAUUAGAAGUUAAUCGGUUUAGUUUUUUUUAUUUCUCACUCAAUCAAGCUAAGCUCAAAAUGAAAUUGAAGUUUUCUUCCUCUUGUUUUUCCCUCAAGACUCACGGCUGGAAUGGCUGAAAAUGAAGAGCAAUUUGAGUGAUUUUUGGUGUUAAAUAUGGAAGAAAUUGGUUGGUCAACAACCUUUGGAUGACCGCCACUUGUCGCCAUGAGAUUAACUCUCAAUUUUUUUCUUUUCCUUGGCCUUUUCUAGUCAAUAAUUUCGGCCAAGAUGAGUUGAGUAAGGGGCUGAUAUUUUGCACUAAUAUCAAUGAUAUUUUAUGGUAAGAAAGUAGUGGUCAAGUGGUGUGUUCAAUCGGCAGUGAACGAUACCCGUCGGUUCAAGCCAAUUUUCCUUAAAUCGCGUAUACUAGGGUUUUAACUUAUAAUUCACUAAUUUAUUAUUAUCACUUCUAAUCACACACUUAAUAUCAUCUAAAACUCACUCUUAAUCACCAAAUUUGAUCCACACUCCGUAUAGAUUAGUCACACUACGAAAAGGCGUAAAAACCCUAAUUUGCGAUAACUUGAAAAUGAAAGGGAAAAUCCUUAAUUUUAUGUUCAUUUGCACUUUUUUGUAGGGUGAUUGGGUAGUAAGGCUAUUAUAACGUAAUAAUUUCCAAAUAAAAGGGAAUUUUAAGAAAAAUAUAAGGAAAUUUUCCAGUCGUCACACUCUUUCCCCCUUAAAGAAAUUUCGUUCUAGAAAUUUUCUUACCACCAGGAUUGAUAAAACCCUAAGUUAAAUGGCAGAUCAUACCUUCUACGUUCUCUUCCCCUUUCGAUGGUCCAGGGUUGGUCUUGGUCGAUUGCCGGGUCCCUUUCCCUUCCCGUAAUAAGGCCGGACAAUUAGCAAUCUAAUGCUUGGCGCUCCCACAUCGCAGGCAUUCUCCCCCUCUUUUCCAACAACUCUCCUUAGUAUGGUUGAUUUUUUCACAAUAGCCACAGGAUAAGUGGAGGAUUGAUGUUUGAUCUCCUUGUGAGACAGCUUUCAGUUGUCCUUCUCCCCCUGAGGCUUCUCUCGGAGUAUCUUCUUUAGAUGUUCCCAAAAUUUUCACACCACUAGCUCCUCGACCUACCUUAAAGAGUGGCCUACCUCGAUCACCUUGUUCUUGAUUUUGACUUCCACUAGGUGCACCCCUUUUCUUUGCAUGGAAGCCUUUCACUUGUGCCCUUACAGUUUCUAUCCUUUGGGCUUUCUCCGGAUCCUUCGUAAAAGUAUUAAUUUAUGCCAUUGCUAAAACCUCUUUGGGAAUCCCUUCGUAUUGCCUUUUUAGUUCUAUGUUCUCGUGCAAUAGCUCAAUUUUCUCUGAAUAUUCGUGUUUCCAUUGCCCUUCCCAAUACUCGGCUAGUCUCUUUUGGACAUUUAUUUCGUUUCGAAGGAUCUCGAUUUCCUUAUAUAUAUCAUCCAAAUGUGCCAUCUCACGGAUUUACUGGGACUCAAGUGAUAGCCUGCCAGACAGAUUAAUGGAGCAGAGUAAGUAACUAAGUACAAGUGGCAAUCUAACCAUAUAACUGUUAAAUUUCUUAACUCCCAAUUCAACCACGAAAGAUCAAAUGAAAUAGACGGGAAAGUAAAAUAUAAUUAGAACAAUAUCUUAAGAUACUAUGCCACGUAUCACGUAUGUAUAUAACAAAACCUUAAAGCAUAUUUCGCACAUCAAAAGUUUCAAACCUUAUGCCACAUCCGUGUUUUAACAAUCUCUCUACCUAACUCCAAAGCUUUCACUCACGGUACAAUAAUAAUCAAACUAAGUUCAUACGUUGACAGUAGUGAAUAGGUAUCAAGGAAGCAUAAACAAGGGUAGUUCGUCGAGAACCAAGUUACAAGUAUCAAAUAUUCAAAGCGAGGUAUAGAUACCUAUAUCAUGGCAGUCAGACCGUCUCGAAUCAAGUAAACACUUUUCUAGACCUCACGUUUAUAGAAGAAAGAAAUAGAUCUUCGGUGCGAAUUUCUUGACAUAUACUACAACUUAAUCAUACUCUAUAGGAACCCUAGCCAGACUAUUACUCGAUUCGUCCAUGAUAACACUCCUAAAUCCAAUCCCCUCUAUCAGUCUAUUUACUAGACCAAAUGUUAGGAUCUUCCAUGCCUUUACCUUCGCCAUCAAAACUCACCUCAAGUGCAGUCAGGAUACAGGCCUUUAUUCUAGUGGUUUCACUACUGGAUAUUCAGGUACAAGAAUCCACAAUAAGGUAAUUCACAACUCGAGCCGGCCGGUCCCAAGAGUAAAUCACCCGUAUUAGAGAUUCCUACCCAACAUACAUAUUUAAGGUCCCCAACAAUAGACCUUUAUUUCACAAUUAAUAAGCCAAUCCCCAGAGUCCGAGAACCCUCUCCCGGCACAAGCUCGAUAGGAGCUCUGAUACCAUCUGUGACGGCCCCACCUCCCCCUAGGGCAUACCCCAAGGUUCGGUGGGUCGCCUGCCCAACUCUCGCCAGGAUUCACUCACUCAUAACUCAAGAAAAAAAUAACGUACAUCCACAGAAAAUAAAUAACACAUCCACUUCAACUUAAUAUAUACAUUGAUGCUCAAAUCCAGAUACAAAGAUUCUACACACCAAAAUACUUCAAAGUGUUUACAAUUCGAAUACAAUCAACCCUAGUCGAGUGCUAGCGUGAGUACCAUUUCAAAACUUCAAAACUAGACUAUUCUGUACCAGUCUCACACCUCGCUCGUACCCCUGUAAGGAAAACAAAUGACAUGGAAUGAGCUAAAAGCCCAGUGAGAUUCCAAAUAGCAAGUUGACUAUUAUUUAAAAGUGCAAGUAUCACGUAGCAAAGUAAUGAGUAUGAAAAGUUCAUAAAAGUGAACAAUAACAUUUUAAGUAGCAAAUCUCAAAGUGAGCGAGUGUAAAGUUUUUCUUUUAAAACGAAACAAUAACACGAUAAGUACUAAUCAUUCCAAAGUAUAAGAAUACGGAUGGCUCUCAGGAGCCAAAUUCCUAUUGCAUCAUCAGAGUUUGAUCAAGUAAUAGUUGACACUCCGUCAACUUCAAGUAAGUAACCAAUCCAGUAGAGAACCAUUUAAACUACUCUCCGUCCACCAUCCAAACCACUUACCGGGCCCGUACUCCACAAUAAACAUUGGUGGUAAUACUCGAGUAUACCGAUUAGUCGAAGAGAUAAUACUCCACUCGAUAUCACUAACUACCCAUGGUUCGUUAUCUAAUCGACCAAACCCUUGCCGGCUCGACUCGAUUAACUAGCCAGUGGGGUUUGGGUCCCCAAGAUGUCGAUGAGAUAACAUCUCCAAUCGACUGAAUCAAAAUAAAAGUACGGAGACGGGAAUGAGAGGCACCUCUCACUCAGAUUGAGUGUGGUACAUACUGCCGCUCCGCAUUUACAAUUCAAGUACAAGUAUAUCAAUUUAAUUGAAACAAUAAACAAGUAUAUACCACAUUAGGACAAGUGCGAUAAAGUACACUCUUACCCGAUCAAACAAAUCACAUAUCAUUUAUUUACAUUGAUCAAGUAUUGAAAAUAAGUGUCCAGUUCAACCAAGUAUUUGGAAGCACUCACCAAAAUGUAGUGCUUUUCAAAAAUCACGUUCAGGUCCAACUCCUUGGUUGGAGUCCAAAUCUGCGAUAAAAUAUCAUUGACGAAUGUAAAACUCUCUAGAGUUCGAAACAUAGGAGUUUCACUUCAAGAAAAUCAAGUAAAUGCAACUCAUUUAAAUAGUAUUCAAGAUACUUAUCAAACCUCGAAAAAUUUAUGCUCGCUCGUUUAGUUUCGGUAAGGAAGCGAUUAAAACUUUGGAACUCCCAUUGGAGUCGAAAGAACGAGAAAAAUGUAUUUCUAUUGAUUAUUACUUUCAUUUUCCAAGGGUAUGAGCUUCCAGCAAAAUUUUAGCUUAUAUACCCUGAUUAAAGAAAACUCGAAUACCAUAGGCGAUCCAAGUCCAACUUGACCUCAAAUCCCUAUUUAAGUCGCGAGUAUAUCUACCUAUCCCUCGAGUGCAAAUUUGGGCAGCACGCCCCUUAUAUUUACCUAUUUCCAGCCAUUUAUGGCUCCAUUACUUUCCUCAAUCAGCCCCCAAAAUCACACACAAAUAAUCUCAUUACAAUAGCCGUUCAAUAGGAUAAAAGUCAUUCAAUUACAAAACCAAGCUAGAAAAGUGAGCGGAAAUAAGCUUUAAAGCAAAGAACAAAAUAACAAGUUUGACGUCCUUUAGCGUAUUGGUCACAAUCGAAGCUACACUUAUCGGAUUGCAUUGAAUUUUAUACCUUUGCGAAGCUAAGACAAAGGGCUACAACUUUUAUGAAGACCACUCAAUCUGGUUCAUAAUUUAUCUAGGUCAAAAGUACAGAUUACAGAACCAGAAUGUCCUUGUCAGUACGGUUGUCAGUACUGAAUUCAAAUGACAAUAACUCAGGCUACAAAAGUCCGAUCGAGGCGUUUUCAGGUGCGUUGGAAAGCUAGGACAUAGAACUACAACUUUUAUGUUUUAGAAAAAUGAUAAUUUGAUACAGAUCAAGGUGAAAAAAUGCGGCCAGAAUGAUGAAAUGUCAAAACUGUCCACAGAACUCUACCUAUGGCAAUCAAGGGUAUUUUUGCCAUUUCAUGUGUUACAGUACUAAAAUUGAGCUGAAAUUUUGUAGACAGAUAUAAAAUAUCAUUUUCUACAACUUUCAUGUUUUGAGCUAAGCCUAAUUCGGCCUCCAUCAUGGCCAAAUAGAACCGGUCAGAACAGGGUAACAUAAAAACUCAAAUCUGGAAUUUAGUGAAUUCAAAGUGUAAACUUCACAUUUCUAGCUUAAACCACUACUACAACUUCCUAUACAAGAUUAUAUACACCAUAUACCAUCCAAACAACAAGAAAUAUAAGUGAACAAUUCAAAAGCCUAACUCAAAAUUCCAUCACCACAAUCAUUAAAAUCACUUAAAUUAGGUAUCACAAGGCAAGAAUACAAGUUGCUCCAUAACUUAAACAAGACCAAGGGAAAGGGAGAAGAUAGACAGCCAUAAUACCUCAAUAAAAGACUUGCAAGGGAUAUCCUUCACCUCUCCUUAGAAAAUUUUAGCUCCCCAAGCUUCCUAAGCUCUCAAAUUAGAAGUUAAUCGGUUUAGUUUUCUUGAUUUCUCACUCAAUCAAGCUAAGCUCAAGAUGGAAUUGAAGUUUUCUUCCUCUUGUUUUUCCCUCAAGACUCACAGCUGGAAUGGCUGAAAAUGAAGAGCAAUUUGAGUGAUUUUUGGUGAUAAAUAUGGAAGAAAUUGGUUGGUCAACAACCUUUGGAUGACCGCCACUUGUCGCCAUAAGAUUAACUCUCAAUUUUUUUCUUUUCCUUGGUUUUUUCUAGUCAAUAAUUUCGGCCAAGAUGAGCUGAGUAAGGGGCUGAUAUUGUGCACUAAUAUCAAUGACAUUUUAUGGUAAGAAAGUAGUGGUCAAGUGGUGUGUUCAAUCGGUAGUGAACGAUACCCGUCGGUUCAAGCCGAUUUUCCUUAAAUCACAUAUAGUAGGGUUUUAACUUAUAAUUUACUAACUUAUUAUUAUCACUUCUAAUCACACACUUAAUAUCAUCUAAAACUCACUCUUAAUCACCAAAUUUGAUCCACACUCCGUAUCGAUUAGUCACACUACAAAAAGGCGUAAAAACCCUAAUUUGCGAUAACUUGAAAACGAAAGGGAAAACCCUUAAUUCUAUAUUCAUUUGCACUUUUUUGUAGGGUGGUUGGGUAGUAAGGCUAUUAUAACAUAAUAAUUUCCAAAUAAAAGGGAAUUUUAAGAAAAAUAUAAGGAAAUUUUCCAAUCGUCACAAACCCAACUCUCACUUUUAGUAUAGUAACUAGUGCGACGGCCUGCGCGAUGCGCAGGGGGACUAAUAUUUCCCUUGUUAAUUGUUUUUUGUUGUAUGAAUUUAUUAGUAUAUAUCUAUAUUAUUAUUUAAUUCAUGUGAAUCAUUAGGGAAUUAUAAUUUUUGUUAAAAGUUAAUUGUUAUGAAAUAUAUAGAAUGCAUGAGGACGCUUAUAUAGAAUGCAUAAGGAUAAAUUAGAAAAUUGUAUAAGGUUAUUUUGCAUUUGGAUUAGGAUAAUUAGAAAAUUGUAAAGUGAAUCAUUCCCGAAGAGUAUUAAUCAUUGUUAACACAAAAAAUAGGGGAUCCCGAAAGUCAAUUAAGCACUUGAACCAUAGAACUUGACAUUGCUAAAAAUAAAUCACCACAUGUCACAGUAAUAAAACCCAUUUUUAAAAGUUACUAAAGCCAACAAUAGUUUAUUAAUUGUUUCCUCAAUAAUUGUGCAUUUACAGAACACUUAACAAUUUUAUUUCAUGUCACAGUAAUAAAAGCCAUUUUUAAAGUCACUAAAGCCAACAACAAUUUAUCAAUUAUUUCCUAGGUAAUUUUGCAUUUCCAGAACACUUCAAAGGCAAAUAAUUAACCACAAAAAAUCAACUUUCAUAGGUUUCACUUUUUACACCACCAAUUACGAAUUCAGUCAACAUGUCCAAUAAAUGCACCAAAACUAUAGAAACUGUUAACAAACAAACAGACAAUUGAUGAAAAUAGCCCUAACAUCUAAUAACAAUUGCAGGAUAAUCGCUUGACAAAAAAAACACUGUGCAUAGGGCAACUUUUCUUUUUAUAUUGUUAGAUAUGUAUAUCUCUAUUACUCACUAAGUUCGAUAACUAUAGGCCUAUUUCUUUUUCCAUUAAUAUUAGAUCAUUAAUCCACAGUAAAAGACAUGUAUUAUUACAUAAUUUUUCAAAUUUAGAGUACUUUAAUUUUCAAAUGUAAGAAAUAAUCUAAUUAAUGUUACAUGUUUAAAUAAAUAAUAUAAAAAGAUUAGCACACAACAUCGCUUUUCAAUUUACAGCAAUUUAGAGCCAUUAGAAAGAACAAAUAUGUUAAAAAUUUUAUAAUAAUUAUAUAUACACUAAACAUGGAUAUAUUAGUAAAAUAAUAAACUAAUUAUUCUUUUAAAAAGGAAAUAGACUCAUAAUCUAGCACACAUAGAAGACAAAAGUAAGCUCAUGUUUAUAGAAUAUAUAUAUAGAAUGAAAAGUAUAACAAUAAAAAUAAGGGAAUUAAAACACCUAAGGCUAAACUAAUGCUCAUAAAUAGCUAAGGUGGCCCAUCUCUACGGAUCACAAGGGGCAAACAUGACUCAAACAAAAGGGGAACAAAGAACAAAUAAAUUACAAAGGAACCACAAUACUAUAGCAUGCAUCUUCCGGUGUCCUGAGUGAGGGAGAAACAGCAAAUGACAUUACCGAAAAAUGAAGCACCACUAAGGCUAAUGCUAAUCACAUGAAGAGGCCCAUGCGGACAGAAGUGAAUUUCCAGCAAAACCAUUGCCAUCCAAUGCCAAAAGACCAAAACGCGCCUCAAAGUCACCAAAAUAACGGCAUAACCGCUUGAUAAAAUGGCAUUAUUCAAAACCCAACUCUCUCUUUUAUAUCUUAGAUGAUAUGCGAGUUUAGAUACUAAAGUUUUGGUAAGAACAAAUCCGAUUCCCAAUUUAUUUAACUAAAAGCAGAUUUAGGACAUCUAAAGAUUUUCAAAAACACUUUAGUCAUAUGCAAUUAUGUGUCAGUUAAAUUGAAUUUAAUAUAGAGAAGCAAAAUAGUAGCUAAUUUUAAAGAUAAGAUUAAGGUGUAAUAACUCACAUGCUAACUCAUUAAUCAAUAAAAAAGAAAAAAUAAAUUAAUUAAACUACAAAAAUUUUCUGCGUAUUUCUCUAUCCCUAUUGUCUCCAAGCAAACAAUCCUAACAGUCAAUCUUUACAUAUGGUUUAACAAGUUUCCUUUUUUUUUCCCAUUUCUUGUUUAAUUAGUUACAUGCUAUUACAUGAGUUAUUCUUAUAGUUUAAAGUUGGCCGCUCUCAUUCUUCUUUAAAAUAAAAUUAAAUUUAACAAGUACGCAAAUGCACGUAACUGAUUCCUCAAUAAUUGGAAAAUCUAUCAAUUCUAUUAAUCUGCUCCGCAUUGAAAACAUUUGGGACCAGAUUUAUUUUUUGUCAAAAUUUCAAGGACUUAAAUUGCACCAGAUACUAAAAAUUGGGGACCAAAGUUUUUUUAAACUUUAGAAACUAAAAUUGAACAUGUGCCAAACAUUAGAGACUAAAACUAAAUUUCUCCAUUAAUUUAAAAGACUUUUUUCUUUACUGAUUUUUGCAUGGGUUGCUAAUGUGUACUCUAUGGUACAUCAAGAUUAUAUAUAUGUAUGAUGUGGUAUGUCAACAUUACUUAUAAUUUACCACUUAUAUGCAAACACUCAUAUUUGCUAUUUUUCUUACUUUUAGACACUUUUUUUUGUCAUUUUGAUUGACAUCUUGGACAAAUCUUCAUUGUGCUUACAAGUAAAUUGCACUUCAUUCCUUAAAUACAUUUUACCAUCACUUUACUUUGUGAGUAAUUGUCAAAGCUUUUGCUAGAUUUUUCAUGUAUGCCUAAAUUAAUUUAUCCAUCUUUUUUCUUUUUUUCUUAUUUUUUCUUGCUUCUCUCAUAAAAUUACAUAUUUUUUCUAACUGUCAUUGUUCGUAUAUUUACAAUGUAAGUAUAGUAUAUCUUUAGCGUGCAAUUGUGAAUUUAUUGUGCCCUUUUUCUUCAUUUUGUUUCACUACACUUAAUUGAUUAGUCAUGGGCUUAAUUUGUUUGUUUAUCCAUCCCAUUUUGUUUGUCAUGGUCAACUUUGCACGCAAUUUAAAAUUUUUAUUCUUUGACCAACCAAUGAAUAUCUCUUUCCAUGAUUAUCCCUUCAUUUAAAUUCAAAUUUCAUUAUUUACUUAAAAAUUUCUGAAUCAUACAAUGGAUAGUUAGAGCAUUUAAUUUUAUAAAUUGACUUUAAUGCACUUUUUGGAAAAUUGACAGAAGAAUAAAAUGGAAAGGGUAGUCUUUUUUCAUUUCCUUUUUUAGACUAGAACAAAUAAUUCGGGACAAGUCAAAAUAGAAGUCAAGAAUAAUAAAAUGAGAUGGAAGAAGUACAUCAAUUAUUUUUCCUUUAGAUAUGCUUGGACAUGUAUUAAUAGUAAAUUUUAUUUCAAUCAAGAUCUCUAUUGGAUUAUCGACUAUGAAGAAUAACAGAUAAAGAAAGUACCAUAAAACUAAAUGAAUAAGUUAAAAAUUAAAAGAACAAGUAGAUUUUAUGUUCAGAAAUAAAAAUAGACAGAAUGAACUGAUGGCAUGAGAGAAACAAGACACUAAAGAAAGAAUAAUUAAAUUAAACUAGAAACUUAACAUUCAAGAGCAUACAACUUAUUAUACCAUUCUUUAAAAUGAAAAAUCUAAAAAAAUUAAAUUAACCUAUUAGUAAAAAAUGGGCAAAGUGUCAUCUUCUAAAUUGAUGUUCCAAUUUCUUCUUGACAUAGUUUCCCAUAAUUUAUGCCUUUUUCAAAGAAAAACUAAAAUAUUAGAGAGAGGAACCUUGAAUAAAGUACAAAAUUAUUCAAAUUAAACCUUUACCCUUUCAGUAGAUUUGUGUUUAUGAGAUCAAAACCUCGACUUUUACAAAAAAGAAAUUUAAAAUAGUGAUUUUUGACUGUCGGACAUCCAUUCCUACGGACAAUAGUCUAAACAGUCUAUCCAACAAAAGGUCAGUAACUAUUUAGAAUUUUUUUGGUAUAGCCUUUGAAUGCACAUUUUAGCAUUUAGCCAUUCAAACAUCGUCUUUUAUUCAAAAUUCAUAAGCCUAUGUAUGCAUUUUGCCCAAAACAACCUCAACGUUCUAUUGUGUGAACUGAAACCCUCAUUUUAUUAUCUCUCUCAAAUUUGUGGAUUUUUAGCAAAAUUUAACCCAAAUCGAUUGCAAACUCUUGUUUCUAACCCUUGAAGCACCUUUCCUUAACAAAAUUUCCCCUCAAAACAUUCAUUUCAAUCAAAGCUAAAAAUUCCCGCUUUUUCCCAAAUCUUUAAACUCUUGGAUUUUGGUGUUUUUGUGUAAUUUUGUUUGUGUUAUCUCACUCACAGACAUCCUUAGACCUAGUAUUGCACAAAUGGCAAGGAUUGGAAGCUCUUCAUCGCAAGACCGUGGAAAGGGACCUGGCAAUGCUUCUAGUAGUGAAACUAUGGCUUAACACACUCCGAAAGGACGUGGAAAUGGCUCUAAAUCAACCCGAGGGGCUCAACUACAAUUAUGGAAAUUCAUUGAUCCAAUGGUAGAUGAGAGGUACUCAGUUUUGUUCCAAAAAUGUUAUAUCACCCAACAUUCAAUUAGUACAUCUGAUUUUAAGAAAUUCAAGUUAGAUUGGGUUCUUGAAAAGUUUGCCUUUCAAAAAUGGUCUCAUGUAUUGCAUUUUUCUCAUGUCAUUUACCCAUCCAAUGGUUACUCAAUUCUAUGCUAAUACUUUUAAAAAUGAUGCUAUGGACGUUGUUAUUUUUCCAACCAACAGCAUUGAUAUUCAUCUCACUCCCCAAAUUGUGAAAUACUACUAUUAAGAGUGAAUGGAAAGGUAAAGUGGAAAAUUUCUUUUCUCAUGAAACUAUAUCUGAUGAAUUUAAUCACUAUCAUGAGAGCAAGCUGAUGACCUAUUUUACUACUAUUUUUCAAGCCCCUGGUGAUGCUAAUUUAGAUGAGUUAAAACCUCUUCAUCAUAUGUGUUUUAUUGUAGUGUCAAAUGUUCUUGUUCUUAUAGUGGCCAUAGGAAUGAAGCAAACAAAAUGAAACUUCAACUUUUUCUAUUUUGUUAAAUAAAAAUAUUAGAAUUGAUUUUGGGUUCAUCAUGCAUUAUUUUAUGAACAAAAUGGGGACUAAUAAAAGCCAAAAUUGUCCUUUGUAAAAUAUCUCACUUUUAUUUUUUAAUUAUUUUGGCGUUCCCCUAGUUGGUGCGUUACAAAAGAAAAAGAGCAUUCACUCUUAUACAAAAUCUUUUGAGCAUAAAAAUCUCGAGUUUCAUAAAGGUGAAUGGCUUACUUUAACCCAAUUUCAAAAGCUUGCAGUUCAAAAUCCCUCACUCAUAGCCUCUUCUUACAAAUGUGCUGAACAUCCUAGAAUAAUAAAUCCUUUUCUAUCUCAAUCCACUGCUUUACUCACUCCGUAUCCUAGGUAACCAUGUUCAUCUACUCAUUCUCAUUUGAGUACUUCAUCUCAAACCUCGGGAUCGAACCAAAUGGUCACUAUUAUUCGAAUUGAAGAAGCACAUGAUUGUUAAGGAAUAAGGACUUCAAUUGGUUAUGACUCUAGAUCAAAAGUUUUAAUAGCUUCAAUUAUGAAGAUAUUAUGGUCCUAAAUCAUCUAGUUUUGAUAAUUAACAAACCAAUCAUAAAGUACUAAUGGUUUACUUGAAUAUUUGUUGAUAGAAUUGAGCCAACAAAUGAGUGAGAAGUGAUUAAAAAUUGUUUGGAUAAUACUAACAAUGAAUAAAACAUGCCUAGAAGAUGACUAGAUCACGAGAAUUGAAGACUUGAAAUAGUUGCGAGAUGUCAAUAAAAAUAUCAACCAACCCGACGCCUAUUCUUGCUCAACCGGAUGAGCCUUCUUCAAGAUCCAGAUGUUCGUAUGCUUAGAAAUGCAAAAAUGGAAGCUGAAUAGAAUAGACCGGAUAACCUAGCAAAUGCAAUCUGGAUGCACAACCGAAUGCAUAAGGGACCCGGACGGGACCUCCGAUUGAUAGUUUUUGUCUCUAAUGGCUAGUUUUUUCUUGCAUUAAUUAUUUGACACUUGGAAGCCAUUUUAAACCAUAUUUUCACUGUCUAUAUAAGUCUUCAAGUCUAAAAUAGUUUGGACCACUUGCCUACAAGAUUACAAGUUUUGAAGGAGUAAUUUUGAGGGAAAAUACUCUUGUGUGUGAGUGUACUUGUAAUCUUAGUGAUGAUGAAAAAUAUAGUAGCUCUUAAUUGGUUGAGGGCAUUCAAUUGUAACAUAGUGAAAGUUAACUUGAGUAUAGUGGUAAAACUCUUUGACUCAACUAAAAGAUGUUUAAGGCGAGUAAAAAGUGAGCUUUCUUAUGUACAAGGUGGUUUCAAUUGAAGAAGUUACUAGUGGAUUCAACACCAACUUCAGAAGGAGUUUGGGAGUUUGAUUGGUUUGGAAUCCUUUUAUUUUAUUUUUCACUUUUCUUUUAUCUGAUUGUGUGGUUAAAUUACUUCAGUUUUAUUGCUAUUUUGUAUGCUUGAGUGGGUGAUCACUUAAGUUAUUUUGGAUAGUUAAAAUUGGAUGAAUAUUUGUAAUUAUUUGCUUAAUUUGUAAACAACCUAAUUUACCCCUUUUUAGAUUACUUUGGACCUUACAAUUGAUAUCAAAACUUGAUCUCCUAGAUAUUAAACUCAACUAGUUUGAGAGUGAAGAUCAUUAUGGCAACCAAUUUCUUGUUAAGUAGAUCCAUAAAUGGACCACCGAUAUUUAAUAGUAAAAUUUAUGAUGUGUGGAAGAAUAGGAUAGAAACCUUUAAUAAAUCUAUUGAUUUUUAGUUGUAGGAUAUUAUUGUAGAUGGUCCUUAUAAAGCUUUAAUCAUAAAGAAAGGAAAAACUAGAGAAAAAACUAAGAAAUAGUUGAAUGAGAAUGAUAAAAAAUGUUGGCAUAAAACAUACAAGUAUGGAUAUUCUUUUAAAGUUUUGGAUGAAAAUGAAUUAAAAAAAUAAAAUAUUGUAAAAGUACUCAAGAAAUUUGGAGAAUAUUAGAAAAAUCUAUGCGAGUAAAAUUCCUAAUUUUAGUGAAAAAAAAGGAAAAAUGUACAACAUCAAAAUCUUGUGAAGAGGAAAACAUUGACGGUGUAAUUACCAAAAAGGUUGUUAGAAGUUUGUAUGAAAAGUUAAGAAGAGCCAAUGAAUUGAAUAAGUGAUGACCCAGAAAACUAUUUUUCUCACAUCCCAACUAUUUGCAUUUUUAUUUAAAUUAUACUUUUAUAAAGUUUGCAUUCAUUUAGUGAUUUACUUGUUAAUUGUUAAAUGAGUUUCUUUUACUGGCUUAUUUUAACCUUCGAGUGAUUAAUUUCUUAAAAAUAUUUAUAGUAUUUGAUUUUACCAAAUUUUUGGUAUCCUCAUCUAUUAAAAUGUAAUUUUAUAUCUUAGUUAAAUUUUAUUGUUAAUUGCCCGGUUAUCGUUUGGUUAGCAUUAAGUGUGAAAUUUUGAAGUGGUGACGUGGAAUUUAGUCUUAAGAUAAAAUCUAGAGCAUGUAGACACUUUAAAGAAAUAGAAAAAUUAUAGGAUAAUGUUGGUUGAGGAAAAUCUAGUUUUGGAUAAGAUGUUGCAUAAGAAUGCGACACAUAAGCGAGUAGGUGAGUUGGUCCCCUAUCACACUUUAAAUGAAGAAACUAGAGUUGAGAGUUCAUUCUCUCUCUUCCCCUUAAGUCAACCGAAAUUUUGAGAGAGAGAGGGAGACUUGAGAGCUCUCCAUUUCCUCCUCCAUCUUGCUCUUGAGGAUCACUUGAAAACCCAUCAACCAGCACAAAAUUUUCUUCUUCUCUUUCUUCUUUUCUUGUUGAGGGCCGAGAGAGAGAGAGAACCGAGGAGGAGAGACAAAGCUGAGAGAGAGAGAGAGACAGAGACAGAGAGAGACACAGAGAGAGACACAGAGAGAGAGAGAGAGCAAUCAAGAGAGAAGGGACAUCCUCCAUCUUGCUCCUGUGGAUUUGUAGAAGAAAUCACCUAAUCAACCUAGAUGAUUUGACCUUUCUUAAGGAAACUUGAAGGGUGAAGGUUGGAAGGAAAUUUUGAGGUUGAAUCACACUAGAUCUAGUUAGAUAUUGAGAUAAGCACCACAAAUCACCCUUAAUUUUUAAUUUCUAGCCAUGGGUAUGUUAGAUUCACUUGAUUUAAGUAAGAUCUAUGGUAGAUCUAGUAAAUUUCUUGAAGUUAUAUCACUAGAUGUUCUAGUGGUUAAAAUGCUAGUUUAGUUCUUAAUUUGUUGGUUGGAUUUGCUUGGAAAUUAUCUUUUGAUGACCAAUGGCUAAUGAUUGAUGAAGCCCAUAUGGAUUUGAGUGAGUUUUGUUGACUAAAUGGUUGUUUUGUUGGUGAAAAUGGAAGAAAUCUCUAUGUCCACCAAAUGUUUGAUCUUUUGUGGAGGGCUGUUUAUGUGCAAAUUUUCAUGAUUUUUCUUGCUAAGAAUCUUGGCUAUAUAUUGUUUGAUAUGUUCAUGGAUUUGUUAUGGAAAAAUUUGGAAGAUUUGAUGGAGAAAUAUUUGGAAAAUUCUUGUGGAAAAAAUUCUGCCUUGGCUGUCCAAAACAGGGGAAGAUAUUCUAGCCUUGAUUUCUACUUUUUCGUAAUAUUUUUGGGCAAGUUCUUGUUCAAGAAACUAUUAAAAUAUCACUCUUUAUUUAUAUGUUGAAUUUGAACCAAAACUAUGAAUAUCUUUCUUGUUGGAAAGUUUGCAAAAUGGAUUGAAACUCAGAGAGCAUUUUCAGUCAAUUUGUCAGAUUUUCUGGUAUUAAUUGAAAAUGAAUUAGAGUCUAAAUUUUAUAUCAUUGGAAAGCUCUUUGAGUCUAGUUUCAAAUGCAACUAACGGCAUUCGAUUUCGAUUUUCCACAUUGAAUUAAAGCUGUUUUCCCGAUACUGCUCAAAUGCCUUGAUAUGACGCGAUAGCUUUCUUGUGCCUCUGUGAUUGCUAAUUUUGACGAUGAAAAUGCGUGAACUGAAUUUGGAUGUCUUCAUAAGAAAUGUAGAUCUGUGUCUUAGCUUCGAAACGCCAUAAAAUUCAUCUCAUUCGAUAAGUGUACCUCCAGUUAUGAUCAAAAUGCCGAGAGGUGUCAAAGCUGUUAUUUUGAUUCUUCUCAUUUGCACUCUUUCCUUCCCUUUUCUUGGUUCAAUUUAACAUUUUUCACUCUAUAUUAUAUCUGAACCAUUGACCUAACGGUGGAUGGGGAUUCGUGUCAAAUGAAUUCUACGGACUUGUUACUUGCGUGGUUGGUGGAGUGUCAACAAAAGAAAAUGAUAUCCAAAAUCGUGAAAUGGCAAGCUUGUGGAUUAGCUCAUUAGAGCUCCUGUAUUCUCUUAAUGAACGUGUUUUAGUCCUUUUGUGGUUUUACAUGAAACUAUUGUUGUUAUUCUGUACAUGUGUUACUUGAGUUGAAUUAUGGUGCUUGUUUCAUUUUCUUGCUUGCUUUUUCGGCCUCACUGAGCCUCCGCUCAUCCCUUUAAGUUUGUCAUUCUUUGACAGGAAUUUGAAGUGAAGAAUUGGAGGCGCUAGACUAAUCAACUUUUGUUUAGAGUUAGUGUAAUUCCCUGAGCGACUUUUGGACAUUUGGAAGUGUAGAUUUCAUUUGUAUUUGAUAUAUUAUGGUUGUAAUAGUUAACGCUAUUGCCUAAGGAUUGUGGCUGUUGUUAUUCAAGUAUUUUCUUAGUUUUAAAAAAUUGUUUGGCUUGAAAAUCUUGAUUGAGUUCAAGGGAUUAAGUAAGUCCUGACGAGAGUUGGGCAGGCAGUCCGCUAACCCUAAGGGAAGGUGGGGCUAUCACAGUUGGUAUUAGAGCUUUAGGCUUCAGAUCUUUGUAGUGUAUCCUAGACUUGAAGUUUAGGAUGUCAGGCUGUGGGAUUAACUUGAAUAUUACAUGAACCGGAGAACCUACUAUAUCUUAGUGGUUAAAGAGAAUUGUUACUUGAGAGUUUCUUAUAUGGGAUUGGUGGAAACAAAACUGAGGAAUUAUGUGGUGUUACAUCGAAAGGAAACAUUAUGUGAGAGAUUAGUAGUGAAAGAUUGGAUGAGAAUCGAAUUAUCUUUGUACUUGUAGGAAUGGAAGGAAUCGGUGCAAAUAUUGGUAUUAGCUGGAGAUAAGAAACCGAGAUUUGCUAGUUAAUUCCACAUAUGAUGGUUUUGAACCAAAACAAAAGAGUUUUCAAAGGAAUAAAAUACAUUUUUCACCUAUUUACCUACUGGAAAAUUUCCGUUUUACUAAGAUGUACUAGUUUUAUUUUCAAACGAUGGUUGAAAAUAACACCUAUAUGCUCCAAGUACUUUAUAACAUACCAAUCUUGACAAGUAUGCGAAUUCCACUUGAUUUUUAAAGCUAGAAAUUGGUGAGCAAUUGAUGAGUUUUGUUGAAUUUUUAUAUAUGUUGGACCGGAGAAAGAGGUUGAAGUUUUCUAACCAAGUCUUCCAAUUCUUGAUUGUACACUAAUAUAUUCUCGCACCUGAAUUUGCCUAUGCUUUGAACAAGAAAUCCUUGAGUUUUUGGAAGAAUUGCGAACUUGGGCUCUGGUAAUGUAAGUCCUGGAUUUGAUGAGAUUUUGUUACUUUGAUUGCUCUUCUUACGUUUUCAAAAAGCUUAUCCGAGAUUUGAAUAUGAAAUUCUUGGUUUUCAAGAAGAGAGCCUAUUUUCAGGUGUAAGAACUGAGGGAGUUUUGAAGAUGUAGAGUGAUCGCAUCCGAGAGCUUGAAGUUAGUGUGAUCGAGGAGCAAGAGUGUACUAAUGAUUUCGUGGAUAGUUCUAGGAGUUCCAUAACUGCAUUGACUAAAGGGAAAGACUGUUUAGAGAUAAAAUGGAGAGGCUAAAGUUUGAUAAAGUGUAAUGGUGAAGGUUAGGACAUGAAAGAUCUGAGUGCUAGAUCUAAGACUGAACAAAUUAAAGAGAUUGGAUUUAUGAAGAUUGUCGUGGCCUAGGUGAGUAAAUCCCUGGUUAGGAUUUCUAUCGAUGGUGGCUUGAUUUGAAAUUUGAUGCUUGUCUUGAAUGUGUAUUGUGCUAGCACUGCAGACUUGCUUAAUUUCUGAUAUAUUUGGACUUGUAUAUGUUUACUUGUACUUGUUGUGAUCAUAUGCAUCAAUCUUGUGAAAUCUGAUAAUUGUACUUUGGAUUACGAUUGACUAGUAUUGCAUCUAUGAUUACGUGAUCCUUGCCCUUUUAUACCUAUAUUGCCUUAGACUUGUGUGAGAAAUGGAAACCGGAGAAUGGCGUUGAGGAUAUAGAUAGUAUAGAAGUGUGGUUUAAAGAUAUAUGUUGAAUAUAUUGGUGUCGGAUCAUGAUGUGAGUUAGUCAUUGUUUGGGUUGCGAAAUAACUUGAUGAUUCAUUUAGUCUAUGGAACGAAUGAAUGUUAGCAAUGAUGACUUAGUACUCUAUUUACGCUUGAACAUAAUGGUCUGUGUAUGAAGAUGAUCCAGGUUUAAGAGUUGUAAACUUUCACUUAUGUGUUGGUGAAAGACUUUUGUCCUAUGAUUAGUAGUUAAGGUUCAAUGAUCCAUGAGUAAAGGGAAUGUAAAUUGGUUCUUCAAGUCUUAGAUAUAAGCUAGAUAGUUUAUGGGAAGAAAUUUAAUCUAUCUUUUGACAAUGGAACCUAUUAUACCUGACUUAAAAAAAAAACUCAGUACUUCAUGUUUAAAACCUCCUAUUCUAGUUUUAUCUGCUACGUGUGAAGUUUGAUAAAAAAAAAAUGAUGAUGAAUUCAAAAAUUUUCAAUUCGAUAAUAUAUUUCUUUGCCUUUCUACGCCUUUUAGAUACUAAUAUUUAAAUUUGCUAUAAAUGUGCUUGUAAAAGUAAUAUAGAAUUUUCGAUCUUAUUUUUCUUGUUUAAGUUAUUUGGGUUAUUCUCUUGUACGAUAUUUUCAUGAAAUUUGAGUUAUUAAGAUCGUAACUUUUAUAAAAGAAAAGGUUUUAACCAAAUAUUUUAUGUCUGCCCCAUCUUACCUUUUCACUUUAGAGUUAACUAAGAGAGUCUCUUUGCAAACAACCAAGAGUUUAGGAAUUUAUUCUUACGAGCGUUAUUCUGAAAAUUUUAUAUCCUUCUCUUAAAAACUUCAAAUAUUUUGAUUUUUGUUAUAAAGCUAUAUUUUUCCUUUGUGGAGAGGAAUGAACUUAAGAGUCUUAUUAUAUCUGAUGUAAGGUUUGAAUUUAUCAGAGUAAGUGACUAGGGGACUAUGAUAAGAUAUUAUUGACUUUAAGGUUUAUCCUUUAGUGUUUUGAUAUUUGUAUUCAUUUGUAUGGAAUUGAAUGUGAUUUUUUUUGAAAUUAUUUAUUACUUGAGGUUUCUUUCUAACCAUUUUAAAAGAUUAAUAGGGUUAAGACCCAGUAGGACAAAAUUACUGCGUUGUUAAGAUCUUAUAGAAUUUGAUAUACGAGGCAUUAAAAUUCACUGAGAGUACUUAGGGACCAUUGAGAUAUUGAGGUAAGGAUUAUAUGAUUUGUUCUUGGAUUGGAACACGUAGAUUGAAAAAUUUCUUGAGGUGAUUUUUAUUACUUAUGAUUGGCUUAUUAAUGAGGUAAUUGAAUUUGCGAAAAAGCGUGAAAAGAUUAUCAUCUUGCUCCUCGUGAAAAGAUUAAGAAUACACGACUUACGUGAUAUCUAGUGUGGAAUAGGUUUUACAAUUCCUAAGAGCGGGAUGCAGAAGAGAUAUCUGGAGUUUUUGAGCUAAGGCAUGAAUUUCGAGAACGAAAUUCUUUUAAGGGGGAGAGGUUGUGAUGAUCCAGAAAAUUAUUUUUCUCACCUUCCAACUAUUUGCAUUUUUAUUUAAAUUAUAUUUUUAUUAAGUUUGUAUUCAUUUAGUGAUUUACUUGUUAAUUGUUAAAUGAGUUUCUUUUACUUGCUUAUUUUAACCUUCGAGUGAUUAAUUUCUUGAAAAUAUUUAUAUUAUGUGAUUUUGCCAAAUUUUUGGUAUCCUCAUCUAUUAAACUGUCAUUUUAUAUCUUAGUUAAAUUUUUAUUAUUAAUUGCCCGGUUAUUGUUUGGCUAGCAUUAAAUGUGAAAUUUUAGAGUGGUGACGUGGAAUUUAGUCUUAAGAUGAAAUCUAGAGCAUGUAGAGAUUUUAAAGAAAUAGAAAAAUAAUAGGAUAAUGUUGGUUGAGGAAAAUCUAGUUUUGGAUAAGAUGUCGCAUGAGAAUGCGACACAUAAGCGAGUAGGUGAGGUGGUCCCCUACCACACUUUAAAGGAAGAAACUAGACUUGAGAGUUCUCUUCCCCUUGAGCCAACCGAAAUUUUGAGAGAGAGAGGGAGACUUGAGAACUCUCCAUUUCCUCCUCCAUCUUGCUCUUGAAGAUCACUUGAAAACCCAUCAAUCAGCACAAAAUUUUCUUCUUCUCUUUCUUCUUUUCUUGUUGAGAGCCGAAGGGGAGAGAGAAAAUCGAGAGAGAGAGAAAGAGCUUGAGAGAGAGAGAGAGAGAGAGAGAGAGAGAGAGAGAGAGAGAGUAACCAAGAGAGAAGGGACAUCCUCCAUCUUGCUCUUUGUGGAUUUGUGGAAGAAAUCACCUAAUUAACCUAAAAGAUUUGACCUUUCUUGAGAAAACUUGAAGGGUAAAGUUUGGAAAGAAAUUUUGAGAUUGAAUCACACUAGAUCUAGUUAGAUCUUGAGGUAAGCACCAAAAAUCACCCUUAAUCUUUAAUUUCUAGAUAUGGGUAUGUUAGAUUCACUUGAUUUAAGUAAGAUCUAUGGUAGAUCUAGUAAAUUUCUUGAGGUUAUAUCACUAGAUGUUCUAGUGGUUAAAAUGCUAGUUUAGCUCUUAAUUUGUUGGUUGGAUUUGCUUGAAAAUUGUCUUUUGAUGACCAAGGGCUAAUGAUUGAUGAAUCCCAUAUGAAUUUGAGUGAAUUUUGUUGACUAAAUGGUUGUUUUGUUGGUGAAAAUGGAAGAAAUCUCUAUAUCCACCAAGUGUUUGAUCUUUUGUGGAGGGUUGUUUAUGUGCAAAUUUUCAUGGUUUUUCUUGCUAAGAAUAGUUUGUUAUGGGAAAAUUGGGAAGAUUUGAUGGAGAAAUAUUUGGAAAAUUCUUGUGGGAAAAAUUCUGCCUUUGCUGUCCAAAACAGGGGAAGAUAUUCUAGCCUUGAUUUCCUCUUUUUCUUAAUAAUUUUGGGCAAGUUUUUGUUCAAGAAACUUGUUAAAAUAUCACUCUUUAUUUGUAUGUUGAAUUUGAACAAAAACUAUACUAUAAAUUUCUUUCUUGUUUUCUUGUUUGAAAGUUUGCAAAAUGGACUGAAACUCAGAGAGCAUUUUCAGUCAAUUUUUCAGAUUUUCUGGUAUUAAUUGAAAAUGAAUUAGAGUCUAAAUUUUAUACCGUUGGAAAGCUCUUCGAGUCUAGUUUCAAACACAACUAACGGCAUUCAAUUUCGAUUUUUCUACGUUGAGUUAUAGGCAUUUUCCCGAUACUGCUCAAAUGCCCUGAUAUGACGCGACAGCUUUCUUGUGCCUCUGUGAUUGCUAAUUUUGAUGAUGAAAAUGAAUGAACUGAAUUUGGAUGUCUAAAUAAGAAAUGUAGAUCUAUGUCUUAGGUUCGAAACGCCAUAAAAUUCAUCUCAAUCCGAUAAGUGUACCUCAAGUUAUGAUCAAAAUGCCGAGAGGUAUCAAAGCUGUUACUUUGAUUCUUCUCCUUUGCACUCUUUCCUUCACUUUUCUUGGUUCAAUUUAACAUUUUUUACUCCAUAUUAUACCUAAACCAUUGACCUAACAUGUACAUGGAUUUUCCCUUUGAUUUUUGAGCUUGAAACUUGUGUUUUGGAAGACUUUUAGGGAUGUAAAAAUAUAAAAAUCUUGAUAAACAUCUUGGGAUUUCUAAGUUGGGAUUUGGGAGUAGUUUUGAUUAAAUGGUGGUUUAGAGUAGUAAAUCUCAUUGUACUCUAAUUACUUGGUUCUAGGACUUGGAAGUGAACACAAGAUUUGCUCCGAAGCGGACAUUUGAGCGUUGCUUUAUAUGGUGAGUGUCAAGUGCAUGUUUCUUGAUAUCUUGAUUUGAAUGAUACCACGUGUUAUGUAUUGAAUAUUGGACUUGAUAAGGCGAGGGUGUACUUUAUCACACUCGUCCUCCCCUUCUUGAAUGAUCUUGUACUUGAGUGAACUUGAGUGAUCGUACUUGUGUUUAUACUUGUGCUUGACUUGUAAGUUGUAGAAACCAAAUUUUUAUUUUUAGCCUUAUUUUAUUAUUAUUUAUUUUUCUUAUUUUUAUUGUAAUUGAUUAAAUGAUAGUAAGGGUUUUUAAUUUUUUUUUACAAAUUGGGUUCGUUGUUUUCAUUUUUAUUGCUAAGAUAUUUUGUAUUAAAUUUCAGAAAAAGAAAUUUUCCACAAAAAGUUGUUUUAAUCAUUUUGGAUUCAAUUGGAAAAAAAAUAUAUAAUUGAUAUUUAAAAAUUUUCAAUUUGUUUUUAACUGUUUUUGUUUAUUUAAAUUGAAUUUUGAAAAAAAAAAAUAAAAAAAAAUGAUAAAAAAUAAUAAGAAAAUGUUUGAAUAGGUGAAAACUUGCAUGUGGGACAAGUAUCCCUUUAUGCCUUUGACAACACAACACCUAAGGGGUUAGGUUUCCAAACACUUGGAGGCCUAAGAUUUGAAGGAAAAGAAAAAACAAAAGAAAAAGAAAGGAAAGGGCGGCUAGAGGUUGAGAGAGCUGAGAGUGGGAGUUAGGGGUGAGAGAUAGAGAGAACCGAGAGAGAGCUCUCGACUGAGGAGAAAAAGAGGGAAAAACAGGGGAAUCUUUGGGAGCCGAAGGAAAAAAAAACAGAGGUAGAGAGGAUAGAAGAGUGGCGGCUAAGGGGAUUAGCUACGGGAAAGCUGAAGAAGGGGCAAGAAAAUGGCUGAGGGAAUCUGGGGAAAGAACCAGGAGAGCUAGGCAAAGGGGGAAAGGGUUUUGGCUCAUCAAAGCAAGAAGAGAGGAUCUGAGAGAGCUUAUUAGGACAAGAGGAAAAGAAGGCUGGCGGGUGGGGUUAGAAGAAGAGAGUGAGAGAAAGAAAGCUAGGGAGAGGCGUCGAAGGAAGAAAAAGGCUGUGCUGGCUGACGGGAAACUAAGAAAAAAAGAGAAAGGAGACGGGCAGAGAAAAAGGAACCAAGCGAGAGAGGGAGAGUGAGAGGAGUCUCGGGCUGGCAGGGAAGAAACAAGAACUGGAAAAGGAGAAGAAACUGAAAGGAAAGAAAAAGCUUGAAGAGGUCCAGGGGCUGGAAAAACAAAGAAGAAAGAAAGGGUUUCGGAGAGUGAGAGAUAGUAGGAGGAAACCGAGAACUGGGGGUUUCGUCCGAGAGCUUGGGGAGGCUGCGCAAAAGAGAGAUCGAGGGAACUGGAAAAGCUUGGGGAGGCUGCGGAAAAGGAGAUUGAGAGGGAGAAACUUCAGGGAAGCGAGGGACACCGGAGAGGGAAAAAGCUGAGGAAAAAGAAAGAGAACCGAGGAGAUUGGGAGAGGGGUGGCGGCUGAGCAAGGAGGAGCUUCAAGUUACGGGCCAGAGGUUUUCUCACCAUCUUCAUGAUUCUCCUAGGAUUAUCGCACGUCCCAAAACAUUUACUGGAAUAGAAGGUAAUCCAUCUUUGUCUUUGGUUCUGGGUAGAACUUUCAUGUUAGCUUCAAGAUCUGGUGAAGUUUGUGUGAGGAGCUGCGGUUUUCUAGUUCGUUUAUUCAUGGUUGCGAUUUGUUGUUGCUGAUUUCUGAUGAAUAUGAUGUUAUGCCCUUGUUCUUGGAUCCUUUAUCAUGGUUUGGUCUAUCAGGACACCUAGAAAGAGACCUGCACAUGAGGAUUUUUUGCUGCAACAAGCGCUAACUUUUUGGCUUGUUGCAGCAGUGUCGCCAAAUGCGUUGCUCGAUUGCAUAAGGCUUUGGUUUGUUUGAUCUUCUGUUUUGCUGGCUGUUUGAGUAUGUAUAACUUGCAGCAUGUGUGGAAAACUAGCGUGGGAAACUCGACAGGGUUUAGCCCUCAUAGUUAUGCAUAGCGGCUGCCCUUUAUUGUUUCCAUAUUUCUUCUCCCAGUUUUUCAUUUGCUCAAGUAGCAGCUUUCUUGUCUCUCUGGGAAGCUUUAUAGAUAUUGCUCAAGAAUUUUUGUUUUGGAGUCUCUGGUUUGGUUUAUAAUGGAGCAAGACUUUAAUUGCUGUUUUCCUUUUCAUGAUGCAAAGCAUGUGCGAGUGUUAGUUAAUUAAGUGAGCUUCUGUAGAUAAACCCAGAAUGGGCAAAAAUCUUUGCAUGAGCUAAAAAUUUGCAAACUUUCCUUAUGCUGGUUUUUGUUCUCUUGUAUGUAAUGAGGUAAGGGUAUGAGCUUAAUAAGAACUUGGGUUUGGUUCUGGUUUGAGUUUGGUGUUAAAUUGUUGCCGUGCAUGUAAUUGCUGAAAUCUCAAAGUGCGGUAGAAAGUUUGCAGAAAUUUUCAGAUUUCGCAUGCCUUUUUUCCUAUGAAAGUUUCAGUUUUUAGGGUCACAAAGUGGAGAGAAUGCUUGGUGAAUUUGUUACUUUGGCCCAAGUUGUUGUUGGUUGAGUCGUUAGCAAUGUUUAGAUGGAAAAGAUUGCAUUCAAAAACCCAGAAAUUGCAGCUCAAGAAACCAGCGAAAGAAAAGGAAGUUCCUGCUAAGAAGAUGCGUGAACUGUCAAACCUUUUUGCCGCUGGUUUGCUGAGCUUGUUCCACAGCUUUAUCAUGUUUGUUCUUUGAUGAUUCUCUUGCCAUUGUUUCCUUUUUUUUUUCCUGUCUUGUGUAUCUUGGGCGUUAGUUUUUGAAAUAAAAAGCAUCAGCUGCAUAAUUUGGCUUGGAUUUCAUUUCCUUUCGGUUUGUACUUGGGUAGAACCAAUCUAGGAGAGUUGUAGAAGAAUUGUUGCGAAAGAUUUGCCUGCUUGAAUGUCGAAUUUCUGUGGUUUUGAUGUUUGGUUGAGAAGCUGGCCGUGUUUGGAUGAAAAAUUACAUCUGAUGAACACCACAAGUGUAGCUAAUCGUAGCUGGAAAAUUGCAGAAUUUUGUUAUUUGAUGCUUGCAUGAUCUUUUGUAUGAAUUUCUGGUACUUAAACAUGAGGAUUUUAGGUUGAAAAGUGAGAGGGAUAUGCGGCAAAUCUUGUUGUUUUGAUUCAAGCUGGGUUUGAUUGAAGUGGUAGUCGUGUGUUUGAGAGUGUAAUCUGAUAGCUGCAGUGGUGAACUAGGAAUUGCAGAAGGAAGCUUCGUAGCAUGCAUGGAAGUAUUUUCAAAAUUUUCACUUUAACACCUUAGCUUCUAUCUAAUGCUACUAUGGCCCAACUAAUUGGAUAACUUAAUCAAUUUUGUCCCUUAACAUGCCAUUUUUCUUUAACACGUCUUAACGUAAUUUUUAGAUAGAUUUUAAUGAGUUUUAGGAUGAAUUUGAAAGUUUAAUGACUUUUUCUAAACUUAUAGUUUUGAUUUGAAUUUUAGUGGAAUUUUGGGAAAUUUUGUCGUUUAAUUAUGAAAAAUGAGCUAUUAUUCGUUUUUUGUGAAUUUUAGUUUUGUUUUGGUAGGUUUCAUCUUAAGCCAUUAAUUUUAAUUUAUUUCAAUUUAGACCCUUAAUAUUUAUAAUAAUAAUAAAGUGAUCCCUCGAACUUCUUUAAUUCUUUCAAAUGGGUCCUUAUUUGUUUAAUUGGUCGAAUAUGAGUUGUCUAUUUUAUUUGAAUGCUUUAAUUAGUUUAAUUUUGUGUUUAUUUCCAUUUUUUGUGAUUAUUUGUUAAUUAAAGUGAUGCCUUGACCUUUUCUUUAUUUUUUGGAGGGUAAAUAAAAAAAUUUCAUUUCAUUAGGGCACCAAAUCAAGGAAGGUACACUCUACCCCUUUAUUUGAUUUUACUUGACCCUAUGUGCUCCUAUGUGAAUUUAUUUGUAAAAUUGCAUGCUUUUUUGAAUAUUUUUAUUUUAUUUAUUUAUUUAGUCACUUUAUUUGUUUUGAUUUAGUUUAUUUAUUUUAAUUUAGUUUUGAUUAUUUGAAAGGCAUUUAAAAGCCAAAAUUGUAAUAGUUAGGUAUUUCUUUUAUUUAUUUAUUUUAUUUCCUUUCUUAGAUUGUAGUUAGGGCCACCCCAAAUGUAAUAGUUAGGGCUUUAUUCGCUUUAUUCGCUUUAUUCGCUUUAUGUGUUUUGCAUGCUUAUGUGCUACGUGUUACUCGCUUUGUUAGGGCCUUGUAUCUAGAUAUCAUGAUUAUGUGUUAUGUGUUUAUGUGAUAUUAUGUGUUUACAUGCUUUUAUUAUGUUUUGCAUGAUUAGUUAGUUAUAAUUAAUGUGUGACGUCUCCACACUAGUCCAACGUUAGUUGUGGCUUCUUUUUCCGAUUUUUUACUAGUCCAACGCUAGUGAGAACUCGUAGACAUGAGCUAGUCCAACGCUAGACCCUUAGGAACCAUUCACAUGCUAGAUCAUGUUUGUGUGACUACACUACAUUUUCAUGCAUAUUUUUCACUUUCUAGGAUUUUUUUAUCAUUUUUUCAUGACAUCCCCCCUUAUACGUAUAUCCCGUACCCCAUGUUCCCCCUUAUAUAUAUAUCCUUUAUCGCAUAUUUCCCCUUAUAUUUUUAUUCCCUAUCCCUAUGUGUGAGACAUGACAUUAGACUUGCAUUUCAUAUAAGAAAAUCAGAACUAGGUUAGUACAUUUGCUUGAUUAGAUUAGGAAAUGCCCCUCAAGUAUGGGAUAUGGACGAGUUUGGCUUCCUAGCCUUAGCACGCUCGUAUUCCCUCUACAAAAGGGAAAAUUGAAGUCAUGAAUCAUAGCCCCGCACCCGUUAUGAUGCAUUCCUUUAGGUCAUGUAUAUUUGUAUAUUAUUAUUUUCUUUUUCUUUUUUUCGAGUCGCAUAUUUUUGCAUAUUCGUGACCUUUUCAAAUAAUUACUUUUGGGCAUCGUAAUUAAUACGAUUUGCACCAAAUAAAAUUCGAAGAAACAUGUUGACUUCGAUACAUUAGGUCUAGGGUUUGCACUCAUAUAGUACAUCCAAAUGUGAUAAAUUCUUAGGCUAAAAUAAGAAAAUCGUUGACUAAAUCACGCAAUUAGCUUUGACCAGGUUGAAAGGGUGCCUUGGAUUUUAUUUUUACAUUCCUUUUCUUCAAAUGUGUCUCCCGAACACUUUUCUCUGAUUUUUGCAAACUUGAAGUCGUUUAAAAAGGGUUUUUCUAAUUUUUUAUUCAAAAUCCAUUUUAGGUAACUUGGUACACCUUAACUCGAUACCAAGUGGCGGCUCCGAUUUUUUUUAUUCAAAAACCCUUUUUAAACUAUAAUUUGGGAUAAAAUCGUUGCACCUAUUAAACCCCAUUUAGGCCCCAUUUUGUUUAUUCAUUUACUAAAAAUAAAAAACACAUCAUUUUCAAUAAAAAAAUUAAACCAAAAUCCAUUUUUCUAAACUCUUUAUUUUUCAUUUUUAAAAGUGGGGCGCGACAUAAGUGAUGAGCGGCAGCAUGUAUCACACUCAAUCCGAAUGAAAGCUGCCUCUCAUAUCGUGUCAGUACCUCUAUUUUGAUUAAGUCGAUUGGAGUGUUAUUUGAUCGAUCCUAGUGCUGAGCGAUAACAUGUACCACACUCAAUCCGAGUGGGAGGUGCUUCUCAUACCGUCUCAGUACCUCUAUCUUGAUUAAGUCGAUUGGAGUGUUAUCUCAUCGAUUAUACUUGUUCUUGUUUGGGUAUACUCGAGUAUUACCACCACUAUUUCAAUUUGGUGUUCGGGCGAGGUAGGGAGUGAAAUGGUGGAUGGGGAUUCGUGUCAAAUGAAUUUUAUGGACUUGUUACUUGCGUGGUUGGUGGAGUGUCAACAAAAGAAAAUGAUAUCCAAGAUUGUGAAAUGGCAAGCUUGUGGAUUAGCUCAUGAGAGCUCCUGUAUCCUCUUAAUGAACAUGUUUUAGUCCUUUUGUGGCUUUACGUGAAACUAUUAUUGUUAUUCUGUACAUGUGCUACUUGAGUUGAAUUAUGGUGUUUGUUUUACUUUCUUGCUUACUUUUUUGGCCUCACUGAGCCUCCGCUCAUCCCUUUAAGUUUGUCAUUCCUUGACAGGAAUUUGAAGUGAAGAAUUGGAGGCGCUAGACUAGCCAGAUUUUGUUUAGAGUUAGUGUAAUUCCCUAAGUGACUUUUAGACAUUUGGAAGUGUAGAUUUCAUUUGUAUUUGAGAUAUUAUAGUUGUAAUAGUUAACACUAUUGCCUAAGGAUUGUAGUUGUUGUUAUUCAAGUACUUUCUUAGUUUUAAAAAAUUGUUUGGCUUGAAAAUCUUGAUUGAGUUCGAGCAAGUGAGUGAGUCGGCUAACCCUUAGGGUACGCCAUUGGGGAAGGUGGGGCUGUCA
rnacentral:lncRNA from 1 species